CGCUGGUAACUGGAAAGGUCGCCAUGGAAACCAGUUGCGAGGAUGAUGCAAAAAUGCAGCUGAAAUGCACAACUUCUUUAAAAAAGGAAGCUCCCCACAGAAUUUAGUUGUGUUACUGUGCAUCUGUCUAGAUAUGGCCCGGUCCAGGGUGGUUGACCCCUGGAGGACGCUUCCUGGAAGGACUUCUGCUGUCUGCUGUGGUAGAAUCUUUCGUGGUUGUGCCUGUAGGAGAACACAACUGGAUGGCUUUGAAGAGGAGGAGACUGAAGAAAGAGAUUUGCCCCGUGCGAAAGCAGCUUUAUCAGAAGCUCCUCCAAACUUGUCUUCAUGAUGCAGAAGAAAAGAGAGACUCCAGCUCGUUCUCCCAAAGUUGUGCUGGCUCCCCUGCCCGAGCUCGAUUCGGUACGUCCUGUGAAUCACCCUGCCGUAGCAGGCUUACUGCUGGCCACCGCCAAGUCUCCUUGAGUCAUCUGCCGAGUCGCCAGCCCUGACCUUCCUCCGGCCAGAGGGGUAAGUCCCUUGGACUCCGCGCCUCACCGGUCGGAUCUGGAGGGAGGGAGCGUGCCAGCUACGCGCCGUGGCCUCCGCAGUGCCUCUGCACGAGGAGCCGGCUUCCUGCGGCACUGCGCGCAGAUUUGAGUAGUCAUUUUAACAGGAGGUUGGGUGAAAUUUGGUCUAAGGAGACCUUUUUUUUGCGGGACUAACAGGGCACGAGUUUUUAUGAACGGCAUAGGGGUGUUUUGCUACGUUACAGAAGGGCCCAUGACGGGCUAAGAGCGAUGGUGUUUGCGCCGGUGGAAGCCCCAAAGCGUGGGUGCCCGGGACCUUCCUGAAAACACCUCCUGGGCUUGUGUACUCCACGUGCUGGUUGCCUCCCUCACGACUGCGAAGAACGAGUGCCUGGGAGGACGGGAGCGCCCUGACAAUAGAUACCGAGGGGCUCUCCCUCUCUUUAAUUCCAGGGUUGUGAGUGAUUCCCCCCUCCCUGCCUCACACGUGCUGCUCUUGGCUUGCGCCGGGCCGCAGAGAUCGGGCUCAGCUGCCAAGCUGCAGACCACGGUCGGGUGCCACAGCUUCUGUAGGCUUUUGUCAGCAGAGCUAUCAAGUGAUCGAGGCUGUAGGCAGGGGGAAGAACGCCUGUUCCUUUGCACAAAACAGCCUUUUAUAAGCUGCUCUGGAUAACCCCCAGCCGUUGCCAUCCCCGGCCACGUAAUCCAUGAUCAACAGAUACGCUCGGGUUCCCCUGUGCCAGCGGGAAGCGGAGAGACUUCUGCCUUCACCUCACGCCGAGACCGUGCGAGGUAGCUCUCACUGGUUGAAAAAGUGGAGGAAUGGGGAAAAAUGUCACAUAACGGAGUCAGGGUGAAGCUACGCUGGGAUUGAUGGGCUGCUGGGGGAAGACUGGAGCCUGUUGCCUGCCCUGGGUUUCCUCUGGCUCACGGUCCCAUCCCAGCCCUUGGCUCACCCCUCGGCAGCAAUCCUGCCCACCAACUACCCUUUCUUGGAAAGAUGUUCACCUCCUCCCUCUGGACCUUGCUGCUGAUGGUUUCCUGAUGGCUGAAAGCCCUGUGGUGCAUUUGAAUCUCUCCCGGUUGUGUGCCAGGCUGCUGAUUUACAGCUUCCACCCAGCUGCCUGCAUCCGAAAAGGGACAGCAAUGCCCUCUGUUUUUCACCACGCUUCCACAGGUUUAUUCUUUGGAGUAACUUUUUUUUUUUGUGUUGUUUGUUUGUUUGUUUGUUUUGGGUUUUUGUUUUUUUUUUACAGCGUUUGUCCUCUCAUGGAAGUGGUGGCACUUGCACAGCCCCUCCACGGUGAGCUUUAGCAGGAGUCCAUCUUCAAGCUUCAGGGCGUCCUUCCUCGUGCUCUGCAGAGCUUGACCCAGAAAAGGUGGAAGAUGCUUGAGAGAGAUUAUGCUGAGAGCGAGGUGUUUCUAAAUGGUAUUAACCCCCUCACACCCCACGAAAAAUGCUGUGUCUGAAACUAAUGGGGGCUUGAAGGUGCUGCCGAGCUGGGGAAGACUCGCUAACCCUGUCCAGAUGUUUGCAUCUGCUGAUACCAGGACCUCAAUCUGCAUUUGAGUGCCAGGAGAGCUCUGACCGUGCUGUUUCAUGCUGAGAAACCCCCCAAAAAUCCCCCUGUCCUUGGGGAUCACCUUGGGCAGGCAGCCCUGGAGCAUCUGCCCCCAGUUUUAGAGUAAAAUUCGCAAAGCUUGAAUUU